AGCUGCAGUUUAUGGUGUCAUUGGAGUUGGAGGUGCUGUUGAUGCUGUCAUUGUCCCCAUCUGAGUAGUCAGACUCAGAUUUGCUCUGCCGGUUGGCUGAACCAUUGAUGGCUAGGUGACUCUCAAGAGGUCUAGGGGGCCGAGGCCUCAAUUCAGGUUCCUCCCGGGGGAGGCCUUUGGGGGGGCCACCGGAUUUCACCUGCCUGGAGAAGGCAUCCUCCAGUUCCGUGAUGGCAUCUGCAAAGUCACUGGAGGGGGCUGGAGACUUGAGGGCUGGGUCACUAAGGUCUCCACAUUCUGAUGGCACCAGGGCCCCCAGCUGGGAGCCAUCAUUAGUCACAGAGACCUGCUUUCCCUCAAAGUAGGAGCUGUGCACCUUCUCGGGGCCCUCGAAGGAGAACUGCAUCCUCAUGUUGGACAGCACAAUGCGGCGUGACAUGCGGUUCUCCGACAUGGAGCUGCGCAGGCGCUCAAAGUUCUUGUUCAUCUGGUACUGGCGGAACGCCGUCUGGAUGGUGCGGGCUGCAUGGCGGGUCACGAGGCGUCCCCCAUACUUGCGUUCUAGCAUUUCCACCUA
ensembl:antisense Gm44123 predicted gene, 44123